UCCUCUCUUCAUUCCACCGAAGACACACCACCACCUCCAUUCUUCAUCUUCUUCCACCUCACUUCCAAUUUUUAAAGAAAAUGAAAAAAAUCAUUUUAAAAGUCCUCUAUUUAAUGAUGGACUUGUAGCAGCCUAAAACACCAUCCUCCAAAGAAAUAUACAUCUCACUUAAAAUUCCACUCCAUCUCCUUCACCAUCAAAAUAAUUUGGCUAGAGCUUGGCACCAUCCUUUGAAGCAUUUUCCUUCACUUUUCUUUCGGUUAUUAAGGUAAGAAGUUUCGAUUUCUUGCUGCAAUUAAAUGGCAUCAAUAGUAUUAAAAUGGUUUUCAUAAAGUUUUAAAAGAUUGGGAAUGUUUUCGAAAAUUUAGGGCUUUUUGGGGAAAAAUGGAAAAUGGGUGUUUCUUGUUAAUUUCUUGUUCUUGCAUGCAUCAUCUAUGUUAAUAGUGGGUAGAUACAACUUUCAUUGGCCAAAAGCAUUAUAAAUUUCAGAUUUCAAAAAGGGGUUUUCAAGAAAAAUGAAAUUUGAACUUUUAUGGGGUUGCAUGUAUAGAUCUUCAAAAGUUUUGGGCCGAAUCUGUAAUUUUUGAGGAGUCAGUCCUAAAUGUGUUUUCAAAACUGUUUUUCAGCAUUUAUUAAACAAAAAUUUCGGAUUUAAGGAAGUUUGUAAGAAAAAGGUGGUUUUUUGAACUUUUGGUGGUAUUGCAUGUGUAGAUCUAGAGAUUUUGGGGUAAAAUAUGUAAUUUUCAGAACUUCUGCAUAAAGUGACUUUUCAACUUCGAUUUCUGCAUCUAAUAAAGUAAAAUUUCAGAUUGUUAGGGUUUUUUCAUGAAAAAGUGAAUUUUGAACUUUUAGUGUGGUUGCAUGUGUAAAUGUUGAAACUUUGGGGUCAAAACUGCAAUUUCUGAAAAAUCUCUAAUUUCUAAAGUUUGAAUCUGUUUUUCCAGCAAGUAUUAAAUGGGGAAAGGUUUUCUUUACAAAGGUUUUCAAAGUAAUUAAGGUUAUAUUAGAGGUUUCGAUUUUUAAAAGAAAAAGGGGAUUUUCUAGUUUUAAUUUCAAGAAAAUUCGAAACUUUGUGGAAAUUUAAAAUAAUUUCAGAAUCUGAAACUUGGGUCAGUUAGGAGUUCUAGGAUUUAAUUUGAGAAUUUUUGGAAUUAGUUUGCUAUUAUUUCGAAAUUAGGAUAGUUUGCACGUCAUUUAUCAUGUUUUUGUGCCUUUAUUUUCAUGUCUUUAAUUGAAUGUCUAUGAAUGAUGAGAUUUGGGUAUUUUAUACUUUUAAUUGCUGCCUGGAUGUGGAUUAAUUUCUGUGAGAUUUAUUGAAUGGCUUGUUACCUAGGUGUGGUAAUAAGUUUAUUAAAUGAAAGGUGAAAAGGGGUACUUGCUUUGCAAGCAUGGUUUGAAUGUUAAAUGGUGAGGUUUGAUGUGUGACUGCAUGUGUGUAUGCUGAGUAAGUGUGUGUGUAUGUGCUGAAUGUGUAUGUGUGUGUGCCGUGUGUGAAUUUGGGGAUUUUUGCCCCAAAUUAUAAAUAUGUGGUAAAUUGUGAUAUUUGUGUGAUGUUGUGGCACUUGAUUGACGUUUGUGAUGUUAUGUGUGGGUCAUAAGCAUGAUUUCGAAAAAUUGCAUUUCAUUAUUUUGAAAAUUGAAAGAUUAAUGGAAUGCUUAGUGAAUAAACGGGAUACGGUGGGCCGGUAUCCGAUUAAGAUGAAAUACAUGGUUUGAUUCCACAAUAGAACGGGCUCGAAACGCUUUAUAGUUUAUUGCUAGGCACAGAUGUUAGUGCUUAGUGAAUAAACGGGAUACGGUGGGCCGGUAUCCAACUAGGAUGAAAUACGUGGUUUUAUAAAACGGGCUCGAAACGCUUUAUAGUUUAUUGCUAGGUACAGAAAUUAAUCUUUCACGGAUCCGAUAAACGAAAAAUGAUUUUUACACGAUUUUCAUAAAACGUGCAUUUUAGUCAUUUUGCAUAAGUGUUUAUGUGUGAAUAUGUGUUUUCGUGAACCAUGUGGUUAACAGUUUGUGUUGUGUUGUUUGGAAUGUGAGUAUGGAUAACUAUAUAUAUUAUAUAUUAUAUAUAACGUAUUUUCAAAGUUUGAUAUUUCAUCGGAUUUCUUACUGAGCUUUAUAGCUCAUAUAGAUGCCUUUUAAUUGCAGGUAAUAGUGUUAGUAACCCUCCACCGGAAUGGAUCGAGUAGCGGAUCGAGGUCUUGCCCGGGAUUUUUGGAAGUUGUACGAGGACCUAUGAACGAUGCUAAAGAAUUUUGGUUUUUUGGUGAUAUAAUAGUAAAUUUAAGUAUUUCCCUUUUUGAUCUUUCGA
rnacentral:lncRNA from 1 species